GGCGGAGGAUAUGUAAUAUUUUGAGAAACCAUUUGAUUUGGUUUUGCUGGCAAUAUGACAAAUUUUUGGAAAAUCAAUUUGUCUUGAGGUCCAAUCAUUCCAUGGGUAAAAUUAACACCAUGACAGGUGGUAAAACAGAAUGCUGCCACUAAGGCGAAGACCCAAUAUAGGUGUCAAGGAUUGAGAAUAUAAGACGUCUUGUUUAAAUCAACUUCGAACAGCAGUCUGGAAACGUGAAAUAUGAAGCUCGUUAUCCUUGCAAUUGUUUUGACAUUUGUAGCUUUUGCCACUUGCACAGACUACCAAUUUGGUGAAAUAGAUGAGGAGGAUGAUUAUCUUAUCGCUAACGACAAGGUCUCGAAAAGAGUCUUGUUAUUUGGUACUCCAAAAAAGAAAUAUACUUUCAAGCAACCUAAAGAUGACAGACUGACCAUAACCGGAAUUACUGUUACAAAUUCAAAAAGAGGCCAAUGCACGGCAGAUGUUAAACUUACUAAAGGUGGACCAGGCAAAACAACGGCUACUUUAGAAUUUAAAGGACAGAAGGGUUAUAAGAAAUUUUCAUGUACUGUUAAGAUCUAUGGGGUCGUAUAAAUUGACCUAUAAUGAUUGAUCUCUGAAAUAAAAGAAAUACUGUUGAGAAAAAUUGGUUUUGGAAAA